rnacentral:rRNA from 1 species
GAGUUUGAUCCUGGCUCAGGAUGAACGCUGGCGGCGUGCUUAACACAUGCAAGUCGAGCGAAGCGCUCACGCGGAAUUUUUCGGAAGGAAGCGGGAGCGACUUAGCGGCGGACGGGUGAGUAACGCGUGGGUAACCUGCCCCAUACCGGGGGAUAACGGUUAGAAAUGACCGCUAAUACCGCGUAAGCGCGCGAGGCCGCAUGGCCCCGCGCGAAAAACUCCGGUGGUAUGGGAUGGGCCCGCGUCUGAUUAGCUAGUUGGCGGGGUAAAGGCCCACCAAGGCGACGAUCAGUAGCCGACCUGAGAGGGUGGCCGGCCACAUUGGGACUGAGACACGGCCCAAACUCCUACGGGAGGCAGCAGUGGGGAAUAUUGCGCAAUGGGGGAAACCCUGACGCAGCAACGCCGCGUGAGUGAGGAAGUAUCUCGGUAUGUAAAGCUCUAUCAGCGGGGAAGAAGGAAGACGGUACCCGACUAAGAAGCCCCGGCUAACUACGUGCCAGCAGCCGCGGUAAUACGUAGGGGGCGAGCGUUAUCCGGAUUUACUGGGUGUAAAGGGAGCGUAGACGGCGGCGCAAGUCUGAAGUGAAAGCCCGUGGCUCAACCGCGGAACCGCUUUGGAAACUGCGCGGCUGGAGUGCUGGAGAGGUAAGCGGAAUUCCUGGUGUAGCGGUGAAAUGCGUAGAUAUCAGGAGGAACACCGGUGGCGAAGGCGGCUUACUGGACAGUGACUGACGUUGAAGGUCGAAAGCGUGGGGAGCGAAAAGGAUUAAAUACCCUGGU